AGAAGCUUGCUUCUCGCUGACGAGCGGCGGACGGGUGUGUAAUACUUAGGAAUCUACCUAGUAGUGGGGGAUAGCUCGGGGAAACUCGAAUUAAUACCGCAUACGACCUACGGGAGAAAGGGGGCAACUUGUUGCUCUCGCUAUUAGAUGAGCCUAAGUCGGAUUAGCUAGAUGGUGGGGUAAAGGCCUACCAUGGCGACGAUCUGUAGCUGGUCUGAGAGGAUGAUCAGCCACACCGGGACUGAGACACGGCCCGGACUCCUACGGGAGGCAGCAGUGGGGAAUAUUGGACAAUGGGGGCAACCCUGAUCCAGCCAUGCCGCGUGUGUGAAGAAGGCCUUUUGGUUGUAAAGCACUUUAAGCAGUGAAGAAGACUCCAUGGUUAAUACCCAUGGACGAUGACAUUAGCUGCAGAAUAAGCACCGGCUAACUCUGUGCCAGCAGCCGCGGUAAUACAGAGGGUGCAAGCGUUAAUCGGAAUUACUGGGCGUAAAGCGAGCGUAGGUGGCUUGAUAAGUCAGAUGUGAAAGCCCCGGGCUUAACCUGGGAACGGCAUCUGAUACUGUUAGGCUAGAGUAGGUGAGAGGAAGGUAGAAUUCCAGGUGUAGCGGUGAAAUGCGUAGAGAUCUGGAGGAAUACCGAUGGCGAAGGCAGCCUUCUGGCAUCAUACUGACACUGAGGUUCGAAAGCGUGGGUAGCAAACAGGAUUAGAUACCCUGGUAGUCCACGCCGUAAACGAUGUCUACUAGUCGUUGGGUCCCUUGAGGACUUAGUGACGCAGCUAACGCAAUAAGUAGACCGCCUGGGGAGUACGGCCGCAAGGUUAAAACUCAAAUGAAUUGACGGGGGCCCGCACAAGCGGUGGAGCAUGUGGUUUAAUUCGAUGCAACGCGAAGAACCUUACCUGGUC
rnacentral:rRNA from 1 species